rnacentral:lncRNA from 1 species
UUCUCCCAUUGGCCUGGACCUUAUUUAGGGUUAUGUGCACUUGUUACUCAUUGCUUUUGUAUCUCUGUUUCUUUCCAGGCUCUUCACUAGUUGAGAAUUUGACCUGAUUGUCUCCGGCAAUUACUAUUUUUCCUUUUACUUAUAGCUGCACAGCUUUGCCUGUUCCCCAGAGUCUAACACUUUCCCGAAAGGGGAGCACAGGAGCGGAACUGAUGGCAGCUCUUCCGACAGCCAGGCCCCAGGUGAGCUGUGCUUCUCUCUUCCUUUCUCAAGAUGUGAGAAUAUUG